rnacentral:lncRNA from 1 species
CUUUUUCGCCCCGCCCUUCAAAUGCGAAAGCGACUGCCUUCUUGGUCCAAGCACAAAUGUGGAUCACUGAACACAGUACUGGAAGCGCCAUUUGCAGAUAAGGAUGCUACAUUAAAGGAAUCGUGUGCAGCAUGAAAAGAUUAGAAUCGAGCUGCACCUAAGAAAAAAAUCCCAAAGUUACUUUCAAAAGUAUGUGUUAUCUGCCAGUCACAGAGGGGAAAAGCACCUAGGGUGAACUCCAAUUUUUUAAUGAGGACCUUGAUCAGGACCACAAAGCCUGAAACAUUUAUUUUAAUGCAGAAACACAGCCCCUAGUUACACUGAUUGCAUUUGGGAAAAUUGGAGGGUUUUUUCGUCCUUAGUUUUUUUUAUUAAAUUACAGGAUAUGGUUUUCGAUUACUAAGUAUUCGAAAUCCUCAUACCAGCAACAGAAAUGAACCACUUCCAAAUUCUAAGACACAAAAGACCAAAGAGAAGCAAAAGCGAUACAAAUUAAUAUGUGCCCCUCUCCUUUCUGCUCUAAGGGAAUCUACAAACCAGUAUCACAUUUAGGAGUCAAAGUGUUAAUUCUUCAGCAUUCCUGACAACUAGAAAGCACAUUCACUGAAGGCUGAAGGUGAGGGAGUGGAUGGUUUAACUUUAAUAUCUGAAGAAUGGCGCCAAUAGAGGAAAGAAAACCAUCCAAUCUCAGUAAGGAUUAAUGCAAAUCUGGCUAGAAAAAGCCACCAGGUAAUCCAAGGGUUCACUGUGGAAGAACUCAUGAAAAGUACUCUGAAGUAUACACAACAGGUCUAAACAUCUCCCUUGUCGUAAGUAGUUGUGUAAAAUUCAAGAUAAAGAUUUAGUCUCAUCUUUUAAUGUCAGUUUUUUCCCCCAUGUUAAAGGGAAUGAGGAGGAGUCCUCUUUUAUUCCCCCACAAGAAAAAGGGAGCCACAUUAAUAUGUGUAUAUUCCCAUAACUCUAAUGUAAGUGCGGAUCUCCAAAGCCUAGGGAUUUUUCCGUAAAAGAGAGUGGGCCGUUCUGGUUACCCUUUUAUUAGAAGGGUAUUCCACCACAGAGAGCCGGAGGUUUUCCAGAUGUGUGUAAGAGAGCAGGUGCGCAAGGCAAGCAAAUGAGCGCAAACAGUAUUAUGGAAAACAUUUGAGAAGUUAGCUCCAUGAGGACUGUGGGCUCCACAAGAGGACUCGACUGGGUAGCCUGGUCUGACACAGGUACGUGAAAGCAGAGUAUUGCUUCAAAGCUGGAAACCUUCCAUAGGAGCCUCACACUGUUGGAAGAUGUACUGCUGCUGGUUAAGGUCAACCUGGGGUGCAAUGCUGCUGUCUUCAUCUUCGGUCCCGAAGUAAUGCUCAAUAAGAUCAAAGGCCUUUUGGUAGAUCUCCUGGUUUUCAUGACUCUGUAAGAACUCAAUUUUAUCCAGACCUAAAAUGAAGAAUAAAGGAAAAUCUUUAUUGAAAACU